rnacentral:rRNA from 1 species
UACGUAGGGGGCUAGCGUUGUCCGGAAUCAUUGGGCGUAAAGAGCGUGUAGGCGGCCCGGUAAGUCCGCUGUAAAAGUCAAAGGCUCAACCUUUGAAUGUCAGUGGAUACUGUCGGGCUAGAGUCCGGAAGAGGCGAGUGGAACUCCUGGUGUAGCGGUGGAAUGCGCAGAUAUCAGGAGGAACACCAGCGGCGAAGGCGGCACUCUGGGCUGGAACUGACGCUGAGGAGCGAAAGCGUGGGUAGCAAACAGG